rnacentral:rRNA from 1 species
UACGAAGGGGGCUAGCGUUGUUCGGAAUUACUGGGCGUAAAGCGCGCGCAGGCGGUCUUCCAAGUCAGUGGUGAAAGCCCGGAGCUCAACUCCGGAACUGCCAUUGAAACUGUAAGACUUGAGGAUGAGAGAGGUGAGUGGAAUUCCCAGUGUAGAGGUGAAAUUCGUAGAUAUUGGGAAGAACACCGGUGGCGAAGGCGGCUCACUGGCGCAUAUCUGACGCUCAGGCGCGACAGCGUGGGGAGCAAACAGG